rnacentral:rRNA from 1 species
GGGCCCGCACAAGCGGUGGAGUAUGUGGUUUAAUUCGAUGCAACGCGAAGAACCUUACCAGGGUUUGACAUCCUGCGAAUUUCUGGGAAACAGGAGAGUGCCUUCGGGAACGCAGUGACAGGUGGUGCAUGGCUGUCGUCAGCUCGUGUCGUGGAGAUGUUGGUUAGUCCCGCAACGAGCGCAACCCACGUCUUUAGUUGCCAGCAUUUAGUUGGGCACUCUAGAGAGACUGCCGGUGAUAAACCGGAGGAAGGUGUGGAUGACGUCAAGUCAUCAUGCCCCUUACAUCCUGGGCUACACACGUACUACAAUGCUACGGACAAAGGGCUGCAAGUUCGCGAGGACAAG